rnacentral:rRNA from 1 species
UGGGUGACGAGCGGCGGACGGGUGAGUAAUGUCUGGGAAACUGCCCGAUGGAGGGGGAUAACUACUGGAAACGGUAGCUAAUACCGCAUAACGUCUUCGGACCAAAGAGGGGGACCUUCGGGCCUCUUGCCAUCGGAUGUGCCCAGAUGGGAUUAGCUAGUAGGUGGGGUAAUGGCUCACCUAGGCGACGAUCCCUAGCUGGUCUGAGAGGAUGACCAGCCACACUGGAACUGAGACACGGUCCAGACUCCUACGGGAGGCAGCAGUGGGGAAUAUUGCACAAUGGGCGCAAGCCUGAUGCAGCCAUGCCGCGUGUAUGAAGAAGGCCUUCGGGUUGUAAAGUACUUUCAGCGAGGAGGAAGGCGUUGUGGUUAAUAACCGCAGCGAUUGACGUUACUCGCAGAAGAAGCACCGGC